rnacentral:piRNA from 1 species
UUUUUUGACCACACACUUCCAUUUCCAA